rnacentral:rRNA from 1 species
CCUACGUGAGGCAGCAGUGAGGAAUAUUGGUCAAUGGCCGCGAGCCUGAACCAGCCAAGUCGCGUGAGGGAAGAAUGUCCUAUGGAUUGUAAACCUCUUUUGUCAGGGAGCAAAAUCACCCACGUGUGGCUGUUGGAGAGUACCUGAAGAAAAAGCAUCGGCUAACUCCGUGCCAGCAGCCGCGGUAAUACGGAGGAUGCGAGCGUUAUCCGGAUUUAUUGGGUUUAAAGGGUGCGUAGGCGGUUGAUCAAGUCAGCGGUAAAAUCGUGGAGCUCAACUCCAUCCAGCCGUUGAAACUGGUGGUCUUGAGUGGGCGAGAAGUAUGCGGAAUGCGUGGUGUAGCGGUGAAAUGCAUAGAUAUCACGCAGAACUCCGAUUGCGAAGGCAGCAUACCGGCGCCCGACUGACGCUGAGGCACGAAAGCGUGGGUAUCGAACAGGAUUAGAUACCCGAGUAGUC